rnacentral:rRNA from 1 species
UACGAAGGGUGCAAACGUUGCUCGGAAUUAUUGGGCGUAAAGCGCACGUAGGCGGCAUUGCAAGUCGGAUGUGAAAUCUUAUGGCUUAACCAUAAAAGUGCAUCCGAAACUGCAGUGCUUGAGUACUUAAGAGGAUCGCGGAAUUCCCGGUGUAGAGGUGAAAUUCGUAGAUAUCGGGAGGAACACCGGUGGCGAAGGCGGCGACCUGGGUGGAUACUGACGCUGAGGUGCGAAAGCGUGGGGAGCAAACAGG